rnacentral:rRNA from 1 species
AGUUUGAUCAUGGCUACAGAACGAACGCUGGCGGCAUGCCUAACACAUGCAAGUCGAACGAAGGCUUCGGCCUUAGUGGCGCACGGGUGCGUAACGCGUGGGAAUCUGCCCAAAGGUACGGAAUAACUCCUCGAAAGGGGUGCUAAUACCGUAUGAUGUCGCAAGACCAAAGAUUUAUCGCCUUUGGAUGAGCCCGCGUAGGAUUAGGUAGUUGGUGAGGUAAAGGCUCACCAAGCCGACGAUCCUUAGCUGGUCUGAGAGGAUGAUCAGCCACACUGGGACUGAGACACGGCCCAGACUCCUACGGGAGGCAGCAGUGGGGAAUAUUGGACAAUGGGCGAAAGCCUGAUCCAGCAAUGCCGCGUGAGUGAUGAAGGCCUUAGGGUUGUAAAGCUCUUUUACCCGGGAAGAUAAUGACUGUACCGGGAGAAUAAGCCCCGGCUAACUCCGUG